rnacentral:rRNA from 1 species
UACGUAGGGUGCGAGCGUUAAUCGGAAUUACUGGGCGUAAAGCGUGCGCAGGCGGUUCGUUGUGUCUGUGGUGAAAGCCCCGGGCUUAACCUGGGAAUGGCCAUGGAAACUGGCGAGCUGGAGUGUGGCAGAGGGGGGUGGAAUGCCACGUGUAGCAGUGAAAUGCGUAGAGAUGUGGCGGAACACCGAUGGCGAAGGCAGCCCCCUGGGCUGAGAUUGACGCUCAGGCACGAAAGCGUGGGGAGCAAACAGG